rnacentral:rRNA from 1 species
AGAAUGAACGCUGGCGGCGUGCUUAACACAUGCAAGUCGAACGAAAUCCAAGGAGCUUGCUCUGGAAGAUUUAGUGGCGACCGGGUGAGUAACACGUGACUAACCUACCCUCGAGUGUGGAAUAACAUCGGGAAACCGAUGCUAAUACCGCAUAACAUCGGCGCUUUUAAGAGAUGCCGAUCAAAGGAGCAAUCCGCUUGAGGAGGGGGUCGCGGCUGAUUAGCUAGUUGGCGGGGUAACGGCCCACCAAGGCGAAGAUCGGUA